AAGCCCGAAAGGUUUAUAGGCUCGAAUAUCCAUUACAAAGGGCAGCACUAUGAGUUGCUUCCGUUUGGCUCUGGGAGACGGAUUUGUGUUGGAAUGGCCCUGGCUCACCGAGUUCUUCACCUAACUUUGGCCACCUUGCUUUGGACUUUCGACUGGGAGCUUGGCAACUCCCUUACUCCACAGACUAUCAACAUGGCCGAGAGGACUGGUAUAACACUAAGAAUGUCGGAACCUCUUAAAGCAAUUCCGAGAAAAAUCAAUCGGACGUGAUGGCCAUUAUGUGUGAAGGUGAUACGGACAUUUGCACAUUACACGGCUGCUUUGUUGUCAAGUAUAAUUUCAAUUCUUAAGUUCCUUUGUCUAGAAAAAAUGUCUACGUACUUGAUAAAGUUUCUUCUUCUUUAUUUUCGCAAAUAGAUGUGUCUAAUUAUCGCAAAGAAAUUCUUCUUUGUUAUUAUGUGUAUAUUAGCUAUCAACCAAUAAUUAAAUGUAGUGUACUACAAGAUUGUUGUAUAUUGAACAGUGUCACCAUACUCCAGCCUUCGAAUAUAGUAGUUGCUUAAACUAUUCAACGAACAAUAAGUAUUAAGCAGGAUGAACCGAGAACAUGCUGGCAGAGGGCCAUCCUGAGUUACAAUACGGCCAUUAACUUUUUGCUACUGUAAUAACUGAAGUCCGAAUUUCGGAUCGGAUUCGGGUAUAUUACCCGGAACCCGAAUUUUUUUUCAAAGUACCUAUAAACAUAAGUUUCAAAGUACAGUAAUAAAAAAAAUUCAUGUCAAACUUGGAAGCUUAACGUUUUACAAACUUGAAAUAAGUAAUGACCAAAAUCUCAAUCUCAAGGAGACCAUAAAAACUACUCCAUAGAAGGUGAUAUAUUCUAAGAGCUCAGCCUUGCUUUUUUUAUGCUUCUUUGGUGAUCUUAGAGUAGUAUGCCCAAUCAGAAUGAGAGGAUGUUAUUGCAGGCUGUCCAAAAGGAUUAUCUUGAACAUAAGAAGGAGCAUUGGCUGCUUCAACAAGGCCAUCUAGGAACAACUGCAGCUCCCCGGCCCUCUGGACCAAGGCUACUUCUCCAAGGAUAAAUCAAAAGUAACCUCUGGUUUCUCCUCAACAUCGUCACUGCUUUCAUUUGAAUCUAAAACGUUUUUCUGUUUCAAAUUUGUCUGCAUUGAUGCCAUGAUAUGAAAUCUUAGAGAUACUAAUGGUUGUCAGAUUGGUCAGGGACUUCUGCUCCAUAUAUGACAGAACUGCAUUGUUAGGCACAUGCAUAUAAAUAGAAGGAGGUUUUACUAAAAUCAUACACAAGAUUUUGUAAAUAGAAUAUGGUACUUAUUAUAAAAUUCAUAAUUAUUUUCCCUCUUUCUAUUUUCUGUUUAGUUAUUUUGAAAUAGCAUACACAAAUUAUUAAAUGUAUAUAUAUGUAUAUAAUACAUGCCGUUAUAUGAUAACGGAUUACCAGAAACUAAUCCAGUGUUGUCACUACUAUCAAAUACACCAGUUUAGAACGAUUUGAUCACGUCUUCCAGUUGCGUGCCUUAGUCUGUGAUAGCAAACCCGCACGGACCCAAGAUCAACUUCGCUCUGGGCUGUGGCCAAACCGGCACGGAUUUAUUUUGGACUCCUCCCAAUAGUUCUCAUACUACGGAGUUCUUUGGCCGCUUAUAUUUUAGAUAAUUAAAUCUUAUUUAUCAUUCCGAUUCGAGACUUGAGUUGGGAAGCACGAAUUAGGGGGCCUCAAGAUAUAUCAAUUACUAUCAAACAUCAAAUUUUGGUGGACGCUGGUAUGUAGUUAGCGGCUUAAAAUAAAUCAUGCAGAGAUCCGUUCACACUCCACAGUCACUUGUGAUGAACCAUAAAUGUGCCAACCAUAGUGUAAACAUAAAUAUUAUUCCAUUUAAUCUUGCAAUCAAUGAACAAUUAUCUACAGACACAGUUUUAAUUCUAGACCAAGUUUGUGACGGAGAAAGCAGAAGACGGAAUAACGACAGUUUUGGACUACUGGAAAGUGGAAAGUAAUGGAAGUGAUCUUUUUAAACUCAUUUACCCACCCUUUGAGGGGAGGUGAUGAGCUGAGGGCUUAAAAUGCCUAUUUGAGUAAUUUUGGCUUAUUAAUAACUUAUUAAUUAUUAAAAAUAUAAUAAUAAAAAUAAAAAUUAUGAGUAAUGAUUUAGGAGUAAUUUUUAUAAAAGAAAAUUCAAAAAAUUUAAUCACUAAAAAAAGUAUUUCAAACUAACUUUAGUUUUAAGUUGAGUUCUGUCUUAAUUCUUUUAAACUGACAUCUAACUUAUUAUACAAACAAACAUUUUUUAACUUAAAGUUCAUCAGAGAUAACCUAAAAUCCAGAAUUUUUCGUAAAAAAAAUAAUCUAGAUUUUAAUCCCAGAUAAACACGCUCCAGAUCCCUUUUUGAGUGGAGUAGAAUUAGACGAGGAUCGAUAAAAGGAUUAGUGUGAUAAAAAUGGGAUGGCCAAACCCCGUCAAAAAGGAAAAAACCCAUUUGUUUAAUUCUUUUUAUAUGAAAUAUGGUUGCAUAAUUUGUUUUUAAAUCUUUUUAUAUUAAAGUUUAUGAAUAAAAUUUUUAUUCAAAAAAAUGUUUAAAAACUAUAUUUUAUAAAAUGCGUGUCAAAUACUUUGUCCUAACAUAAACAAUAUUUGGAUUGUUUUCGUGACGAACUUAUAAGUCAAUUUCCCACUGAUAAGUCAGAAUGUGAACGGUUGAAAAUUCUAAUUUUUUUAGUGAUUUAUUUUUAUUUUUAAAACUUGGUUUUACAAAUAUGUAGAGGAUCAUCUUAAAAGAUUAUUUAUAAUAAUUUAUUAUUAUAUUAAUAAUUUUUAUAUUCAAUAAAUUGUAAAUAUCAAAAAAAAUUAUUCAAAUAAACAAAAUAGACAUGAUUUUUUACGUAUAAGCCCAGUGAUGGGUUUAUCCUCUGUUGACCCGGGGCACCCGGGUUCGACUCUGGCUCACCCCGAGAAUUAUUAGAACAGAUACUAAGUUGUAAGGCAUAUAAGCCUGCAUUGUCAACAAAAAAAAAAAAAAAAAUUCUCAUUCAUAAAUAAUAAUUAAAUAUUUUUUUAAUUAUGCCAAACAAUCCUUCUCGUGAAUGCAAAUCAGAUUAUGGCUUGCUUGUUCUUUUUCCCGAGGGCUUGCACGUGUUACUCAACAUUAACAUGUUUUAUUUGAAAGGAUAGUCUAUAAUUCCUUCCGGGACUAAUCGAACCGAGUCGAACACUGUCAGGCUUGGUUCGAACUCGACUGAAAAAUUUAGGACUUAGAAUUCGAGUUGGAGUUCGACCGAAUUUUUAAUUUUAAGUUUGAAACUCGGGUCAUACACAGUUUGAUAGGCUCGAGUUCGACUCGAAAGCUCGAAUUGAGCCACAAAAUAUUGACAAAAACUUGAAAUAUGAUUGGUUUGACUCGAGUUCGAUUCGAUUAAUUAAAUGAAUUAUAAAUGAAAAAUUAAAUAUAUUUGUAAAAAUAUAUUUAUAAUAAAAAAAUUAAUAAAUAAGAGAGGCUUGAUAACUCGUGAACCUUACGAGUCCAGUAAAUUGAAGCUCGAACUCGGCUCGGUAAAACAUCCAAAUAGCUCGAGCUAGAUUAUUACCGAAUCAAAUUCAAAUUAUUUUACCAGCCGCGCAAGCACGAGUAGCUCACGAACAGUUUGGUUUAUUCACACCCUACUUCCAAUCAUUUUAGCGGCGAAAAAGGAUGUUAACUAUGAAAGACAAAUCAUAUGACUGAGAAUUCUGCUACAAACAAUACAACAUUAAAAAAACACUACACCAUAUUUGGUCUAUCCUAACAUUACAAACUGAUGUUGCCACCUAAAAUGUUGCCUUAGAUGCUUAAAAUUUGAUUGAAGCAGGUGUAUGCCACCAUCGCAUUUUCGGUGUUGCCAUUAAUAAGAUAAAUGUUGUCAUAACUAAAACAAACCCUCAAUGCCAACAUUUUGUGCGAUGUUACCUUAAAGAUGUGUUAAAAUUAAUAGGAGGGAAACAACCCGCCUUUUCAACUCUGAAUUUUUUAAAAAUAAAUUAAGCAACCGCCCAUCCCAUCACUCACACAGAUAAAACAUAACAAUAAAAUUAAAACUAAAACCAAUUCUUUCUCUCGGCUCACUCUCGCUCUCUCUCGCAUCUCGUGGGUUUAUCCUCUGUUGACCCGGGGCACCCGGGUUCGACUCUGGCUCACCCCGAGAAUUAUUAGAACAGAUACUAAGUUGUAAGGCAUAUAAGCCUGCAUUGUCAACAUAUUAGAACAGAUACUAAGUUGUAAGGCAUAUAAGCCUGCAUUGUCAACAAAAAAAAAAAAAAAAAUUCUCAUUCAUAAAUAAUAAUUAAAUAUUUUUUUAAUUAUGCCAAACAAUCCUUCUCGUGAAUGCAAAUCAGAUUAUGGCUUGCUUGUUCUUUUUCCCGAGGGCUUGCACGUGUUACUCAACAUUAACAUGUUUUAUUUGAAAGGAUAGUCUAUAAUUCCUUCCGGGACUAAUCGAACCGAGUCGAACACUGUCAGGCUUGGUUCGAACUCGACUGAAAAAUUUAGGACUUAGAAUUCGAGUUGGAGUUCGACCGAAUUUUUAAUUUUAAGUUUGAAACUCGGGUCAUACACAGUUUGAUAGGCUCGAGUUCGACUCGAAAGCUCGAAUUGAGCCACAAAAUAUUGACAAAAACUUGAAAUAUGAUUGGUUUGACUCGAGUUCGAUUCGAUUAAUUAAAUGAAUUAUAAAUGAAAAAUUAAAUAUAUUUGUAAAAAUAUAUUUAUAAUAAAAAAAUUAAUAAAUAAGAGAGGCUUGAUAACUCGUGAACCUUACGAGUCCAGUAAAUUGAAGCUCGAACUCGGCUCGGUAAAACNNNNNNNNNNNNNNNNNNNNNNNNNNNNNNNNNNNNNNNNNNNNNNNNNNNNNNNNNNNNNNNNNNNNNNNNNNNNNNNNNNNNNNNNNNNNNNNNNNNNNNNNNNNNNNNNNNNNNNNNNNNNNNNNNNNNNNNNNNNNNNNNNNNNNNNNNNNNNNNNNNNNNNNNNNNNNNNNNNNNNNNNNNNNNNNNNNNNNNNNNNNNNNNNNNNNNNNNNNNNNNNNNNNNNNNNNNNNNNNNNNNNNNNNNNNNNNNNNNNNNNNNNNNNNNNNNNNNNNNNNNNNNNNNNNNNNNNNNNNNNNNNNNNNNNNNNNNNNNNNNNNNNNNNNNNNNNNNNNNNNNNNNNNNNNNNNNNNNNNNNNNNNNNNNNNNNNNNNNNNNNNNNNNNNNNNNNNNNNNNNNNNNNNNNNNNNNNNNNNNNNNNNNNNNNNNNNNNNNNNNNNNNNNNNNNNNNNNNNNNNNNNNNNNNNNNNNNNNNNNNNNNNNNNNNNNNNNNNNNNNNNNNNNNNNNNNNNNNNNNNNNNNNNNNNNNNNNNNNNNNNNNNNNNNNNNNNNNNNNNNNNNNNNNNNNNNNNNNNNNNNNNNNNNAGGGAUAUACAAGAGACUUAUCUUCUCUUGAUCAUGAAGGAAGAAGACAUACUAAAGGUUCUUCGAUUGUUUGAAGGAGACACUGAAAGAAAAAAUAUUAGUGAAGUAUAUAUCUUUAAGGAAGUGGAUGGUAAUAUAAUGAUUUAUUCUUGCUCUGUUUCACAUUUUCAGAUUUAAAUAUAUUUGUAAAAAUAUAUUUAUAAUAAAAAAAUUAAUAAAUAAGAGAGGCUUGAUAACUCGUGAACCUUACGAGUCCAGUAAAUUGAAGCUCGAACUCGGCUCGGUAAAACAUCCAAAUAGCUCGAGCUAGAUUAUUACCGAAUCAAAUUCAAAUUAUUUUACCAGCCGCGCAAGCACGAGUAGCUCACGAACAGUUUGGUUUAUUCACACCCUACUUCCAAUCAUUUUAGCGGCGAAAAAGGAUGUUAACUAUGAAAGACAAAUCAUAUGACUGAGAAUUCUGCUACAAACAAUACAACAUUAAAAAAACACUACACCAUAUUUGGUCUAUCCUAACAUUACAAACUGAUGUUGCCACCUAAAAUGUUGCCUUAGAUGCUUAAAAUUUGAUUGAAGCAGGUGUAUGCCACCAUCGCAUUUUCGGUGUUGCCAUUAAUAAGAUAAAUGUUGUCAUAACUAAAACAAACCCUCAAUGCCAACAUUUUGUGCGAUGUUACCUUAAAGAUGUGUUAAAAUUAAUAGGAGGGAAACAACCCGCCUUUUCAACUCUGAAUUUUUUAAAAAUAAAUUAAGUAACCGCCCAUCCCAUCACUCACACAGAUAAAACAUAACAAUAAAAUUAAAACUAAAACCAAUUCUUUCUCUCGGCUCACUCUCGCUCUCUCUCGCAUCUCUCACUAUCUAUCUCGCAUCUCUCGCAUUUCACAUCUCUCAUUCAUCUCUCCCAUCUCAUUCUUUCAUUCCUUUCAUCUCUCUCAUCUCACUCUUUCAUCUCUCGAAGCUUGUCUCGGAGCUUAUCUCGCUGCUUAUACAAGGAAAGGGUCCGACGAUUAUAUACAGGAAGCUUAUCUCGGUGUUUUAGUUCUUGUCUCGGAGCUCAGUAACUUUCUUCUCGUAGCUUGAAUUUGGUCCGACUAUAACAUUAUAAGGUAUUUCUCUAAAUUAAUUUUGUUAAUUUGGGGGUUUUAAAACCCUAACUGUAAAUUCGUAAUUUGGAGGUUCUAAUAUAAAUAAUGUUAGAUCAUUCGAUGUUCAUGGUACCACUUAUACGUGUUUGCACACCAUCUGUUUGAUUAAGUGCCCGUGAGUAGGUUUUAUUCAAGAUUUUCGGUACAAAUGAAUCAUGUGUUCGUGUGUUGCUAAUGGUGCUGUUAAUUCAAACAGUGAGUAACUUUUCUCGAUGUAUAUAUUUGCGGGAAGUUAAAUGUUAGAUUAUAUGCUAGAAACCGAUGAAGAAGGGCUAGGGUUGCUAACUAAUUAACUCAUCUUAUGAUUAUUUAGAACUGCGUUAUGCUAAAAAAGAUAUCAUGCUCUAAUGCUCCCCCCUAUCAUCAUGUACGUAUAAAACUGUACUCUGAGAGUAUAUUUGCUGAUAUGUUUCUUUUCAGCACAAGGUUACACACCAUUUCUAGUGCACUUGACAAUGGUAAUUUUGACGAUAAGCAACAGACUAAAUAUCUUAUUUUUAAGGUCUACAAGAAUUUAAUGAACAAAGAGCUUAGGUAAUUACUAAUAUCUUCAUUUUCACACAAGCAAACCUUUCUCUGUUUUUUUCUAAUAAUUAACUUGAAAUUUUACUUAAUUUAUUGUUAAAUAGGGAUAUACAAGAGACUUAUCUUCUCUUGAUCAUGAAGGAAGAAGACAUACUAAAGGUUCUUCGAUUGUUUGAAGGAGCCACAGAAAGAAAAAAUAUUAGUGAAGUAUAUAUCUUUAAGGAAAUGGAUGGUAAUAUAAUGAUUUAUUCUUAAUCUGUUUCAUAUUUUCAGAUUGAUAUGUAUCGCCCAUGUAUCAAUACCAGUAUCCUCGCCAUAUCCAUGAAUUGCACGCUAUACACAAAGUGGAAUUUGAUUAGAGUUUUUAAUCUUAAGAGCAUAAUAUGCCUGUUUUACAGGUAGCGAAAACUCAUGGUUUUUCUCUUAAAUAAUAUUAGCAUGUCAUACAUCAUUUGAAGAAAAUUAUCUUGGUGAACCUAUCCUUCCUGGUUGCUCUUGCCUGGUGCCUUUUGAUGGGCAACAGAACAUCCAAUAUUUAAGGUACAAUUCGUCGUCUCAUCUAUUAGUACUAGCAUAUAUGUCUGACGAUUAUCGGAAUAUCAUUUGUGAAGGAAUCAUGCAAGCUAUUGUGAUGCACCCGUUUGACAUAGGCGACCACUACAUCAUUAAUAACGACCAGGUGAAUCAAUAUCUCUUCAAUUUCAGAUUAGAGUUUCUAUAAGAUAUACCUUUUAAUUUUUCCUAAUGUAUAAAAUACUUCACAGUUGGUCGUUGAAGAAAUGGGGCUAACAUAUAUAUUUUUCUUGAAGGAAAAAUAAUGAGAAGAUAAAUUAUCCGAAUUUCGUGUUACUUUCGAAAUGGUGACUAUUUUGAUNUGUUAAUUUGGGGGUUUUAAAACCCUAACUGUAAAUUCGUAAUUUGGAGGUUCUAAUAUAAAUAAUGUUAGAUCAUUCGAUGUUCAUGGUACCACUUAUNAAAUUCCAGAAUUGAAGCUCGAUAUUGUAGAGCUAACUGCUGCAGUGCCGAAUGCUUCAGCCGUAGGUGAUCACCAUGACGACAUUACUUCAUAAAAUUUGGUCUGUGGAAUUUUAGUAUUGUGAUAAUAUUUUAGUAUCGAUAGAAUUUUAGUAUUUGCAGAAUUUUAGUAAGUUGUAGUAAAAUUAUGUGGAAUUUGUAUUGUGGAGUUUGGAUUUAACUAUGUUAUGGCUUGUUGGUUUAGUCAAUAUUAUUUAACGUUUGCAAUUAGGUUUCGGAAUGGAUGAUUGGUUUUGAUUAUUAUAUAUACAAACAAAAUCUUUCAAAUAAUAAAUAUAUUGCCAUGGACAGAUUAAAUGUUGGCAAAAACAUAAAAUGUUACUUGAAAUGUUGUUGCAGUAUUGUAAAAAACGAUGUUGCCAUAUAUUAUAUGGCAACACAGAGAAGGUGUUGCCAUUAUAAACAGAUGUUGUCAUACGAUUUAGAGCAACACACACCAACCAUGUUGCUAAUGACAAAAUAAUGUUGGCAUAAGGUUUACGGCAACAUAAAAAAUCGUGUUGUCAUAAACUGGAAAAAGUGUUGGCAUAACCUCUAUGCCCACAUCGAUUUUCCUAACACCUUCAAAUUUGAACAAAAUGUUGUCAAAAACACAAUGGCAACAUAAAUUGCAGUUUUAGCAACUAAUUUUGGGUGUUAGGAUAGACCAUAUGUGGUGUAGUGAAAUAAAAUAAAUGCACAACCGUUGUUCUUUACUUUUUAAAAACUAUUUUCAUUACUCUCGCAAUCAAACUGUUCUCACUGAAUCACUACCUAUAUCAAUAUCUGUAUUACACCGGUUUAUAUCAAACUUAUAUAUAAUUAUUUUAAUAAUCUACAUCUAUAUGUUUCAUUAUUAUUUUGCUAAUCCAUCAUUAUAGAAAAAUAAUUAGGUAUCAAAGUCAAAAGCAACAAUUAAAAAUAUCACCUUGAACCGUUAUUAAAAAAAUAUAAAUAUAUAAAAAAUAAUAUAAACAGUAAAUCAAAAUAUAAAUGAUAUAAUAAUAAAUAUUGAUAUAACCUUGCAUUAAACUAAUAUAAUGAAUAAUUAAACAUAAAAAAAUUAUAAAAAAAAUAGCCAUACUUGUCACCAUCUUAUCUAGAAGGCAGAUAAAUUUAAAACGGCUAAAUUCAAAGAAAUUUUGUUUUGAUUCAAUCACAAUAGAGUGUUUUACUUUGGGGCAGAACAUUGCGUGCCUGCGAGGCACUCUGUGUGAUUUGCAUCCAUUCAUUUUAAAAAUAUCAAGAACCGUACAACAAAAAUUUAACAUCUUUAAUGUUCUAUAUAUAUAGAACUCAUGCUAAAGUUACAAUUAUAUACUGAAGAAAAAACUGAAAAGGAUUAGAAAUGGAAAGCACCAGUUCUUUUAGCUGGCUGACCGCUUCUCUUUUAGCUGUAAUUGUUACUGUUAUGCUGAAAUGGAUGCAUGCAAGCUAUUUUUCAGCUAAACAGAAACCACCAGGCCCGUUGGCAUGGCCCCUGAUCGGAAAUAUUUUCGAUCUCGGAAGCAUGCCACACCAGAGCCUAUACAAACUUCGGCCGAGAUACGGACCUGUACUUUGGUUGAAGCUCGGUUUAGUCGAUACUAUGGUCAUACAAUCAGCCAAAGCUGCAGCCGAUAUGUUCAAGAACCAUGACGCCGUCUUCUCUGAUCGUAAGGUUCCNUUGCCAUAUAUUAUAUGGCAACACAGAGAAGGUGUUGCCAUUAUAAACAGAUGUUGUCAUACGAUUUAGAGCAACACACACCAACCAUGUUGCUAAUGACAAAAUAAUGUUGGCAUAAGGUUUACGGCAACAUAAAAAAUCGUGUUGUCAUAAACUGGAAAAAGUGUUGGCAUAACCUCUAUGCCCACAUCGAUUUUCCUAACACCUUCAAAUUUGAACAAAAUGUUGUCAAAAACACAAUGGCAACAUAAAUUGCAGUUUUAGCAACUAAUUUUGGGUGUUAGGAUAGACCAUAUGUGGUGUAGUGAAAUAAAAUAAAUGCACAACCGUUGUUCUUUACUUUUUAAAAACUAUUUUCAUUACUCUCGCAAUCAAACUGUUCUCACUGAAUCACUACCUAUAUCAAUAUCUGUAUUACACCGGUUUAUAUCAAACUUAUAUAUAAUUAUUUUAAUAAUCUACAUCUAUAUGUUUCAUUAUUAUUUUGCUAAUCCAUCAUUAUAGAAAAAUAAUUAGGUAUCAAAGUCAAAAGCAACAAUUAAAAAUAUCACCUUGAACCGUUAUUAAAAAAAUAUAAAUAUAUAAAAAAUAAUAUAAACAGUAAAUCAAAAUAUAAAUGAUAUAAUAAUAAAUAUUGAUAUAACCUUGCAUUAAACUAAUAUAAUGAAUAAUUAAACAUAAAAAAAUUAUAAAAAAAAUAGCCAUACUUGUCACCAUCUUAUCUAGAAGGCAGAUAAAUUUAAAACGGCUAAAUUCAAAGAAAUUUUGUUUUGAUUCAAUCACAAUAGAGUGUUUUACUUUGGGGCAGAACAUUGCGUGCCUGCGAGGCACUCUGUGUGAUUUGCAUCCAUUCAUUUUAAAAAUAUCAAGAACCGUACAACAAAAAUUUAACAUCUUUAAUGUUCUAUAUAUAUAGAACUCAUGCUAAAGUUACAAUUAUAUACUGAAGAAAAAACUGAAAAGGAUUAGAAAUGGAAAGCACCAGUUCUUUUAGCUGGCUGACCGCUUCUCUUUUAGCUGUAAUUGUUACUGUUAUGCUGAAAUGGAUGCAUGCAAGCUAUUUUUCAGCUAAACAGAAACCACCAGGCCCGUUGGCAUGGCCCCUGAUCGGAAAUAUUUUCGAUCUCGGAAGCAUGCCACACCAGAGCCUAUACAAACUUCGGCCGAGAUACGGACCUGUACUUUGGUUGAAGCUCGGUUUAGUCGAUACUAUGGUCAUACAAUCAGCCAAAGCUGCAGCCGAUAUGUUCAAGAACCAUGACGCCGUCUUCUCUGAUCGUAAGGUUCCUGAUGCACUAACAGCCUGGAACUACAACCAAGGGUCAUUAGCCAUGGGCAAUUACGGUCCAUAUUGGCGCACACUACGAAAGCUCUGCUCCAUGGAGCUCCUAGUCACUAAACGAGUCAAUGAUUCAACUGUGAUCCGGGAGAAGUGUGUGGAAAAGCUGGUUUGCUGGAUAGAACAGAUCAUUGCAUCCUCGCAAGUUGAGGGAAGAUCAGGCGAGGUGGAACUGUCCGAACUCUUAUUUCUCAUGACGUUUAAUGUGGUGGGAAACCUCAUGCUUUCGAAGGAUCUUCUGGAUUUAUCUUCCACUCAAGGACGAGAAUUCUUUGAAGCAAUGAACGAAGUCAUGAAAUGGGCGGGGACACCUAACCUGGCAGACUUCCUGCCAUUCUUGAAGCCGUUUGAUCCAUUCAAAAUUAGAAAAAAUAUGGCUAAAGGCAUGGGCGUAGCCAUAAAUAUCGUAAGCAGCUUUUUGAAAGACAGGGGUCAUGAAACUAUGUCCACGGAGAAGGUGAAGAAGGACUUCUUGGAUGUCCUCUUGGAGUAUCAAGGUGACCGAAAAGAAGGACCUGACAAAAUGUCUGAAAAGCAUAUAAUUAUCAUCAUACUGGUAGUGAUCAAAAUCCUUUCAAUUAAACUUUCUUCUUUUCAAUUGAAUUCCUAGCUCUCUACAUAAAACAAGUUUCGAUAGCAAUUAAUGGACUUUUUUGCACAUACAAUGAAGUCUAAAAUAGUAAAAUGCCAUCAUUUGAUUUUGAACUAUAAACACUACGGGUUCACCUUAGUUAGGCUGCCUUAAUUUGUUGCUUGUUGCAUCAGACAUCAGUUAUUAAGAGCCGGGAAUUAUGCAGGAAAUGUUUUUCGCUGGGUCAGAAACAACAAGCAGUAGCAUAGAAUGGGCCAUGGCAGAGCUAUUACGCAACCCUGAAUCGAUGAGGAAGGUCAAAGAAGAACUUGACAGUGUUAUCAUGCCUAACAAAAGGGUCAUGGAGAGUGACAUCGAUAAGCUACCAUAUCUGCAAGCAGUGGUAAAGGAAAGCCUGAGACUCCAUCCGGCUAUUCCUCUACUGCUUCCACGAAACUCAAUGGAAGACACCAAUUUCAUGGGGUAUGACAUACCCAAAAGUACCCAAGUUUUUGUAAAUGUGUGGGCAAUCGGAAGGGACCCUGAUGUAUGGGAAGACCCCUUGUCUUUCAAGCCCGAAAGGUUCAUAGGCUCGAAUAUCCAUUACAAAGGGCAGCACUAUGAGUUGCUUCCGUUUGGGUCCGGGAGACGGAUUUGUGUUGGAAUGGCGCUGGCUUACCGAGUUCUUCACCUCAGUUUGGCCACCUUGCUUUGGACUUUCGACUGGGAGCUUGGCAACUCCCUUACUCCACAGACUAUCAACAUGGCCGAGAGGACUGGUAUAACACUCAGAAUGUCGGAACCUCUUAAAGCAAUUCCCAGAAAAAUCAAUCGAACGUGAUGGCCAUUACGUGUUCAGAGAGACAAUGAAGGUGAUACGGACAUUUGCACAUUACAAGGCUGCUAUGUUGUCAAAUAUAAUUUCAAUUCCUAGAAAAAAUGUCUACGUACUUGAUAAAGUUUCUUCUUCUAUAUUAUCGCAAAUAGAUGUGUGUCUAAUUAUAGGAAAGAAAGUCUUCUUUGUUAUGUGUAAUGCAGAUUAGCCAUCAACAAAUAAGUGCACUGCAAGAUUGUUGUGUAAUGCGGCUGUGAUUCAUUUAGUAUUAUAAUAUUAAGAUACAUAUUAUUUGUGAAAUUUUUUGACUUUGUUAUAUUUAUCUUUUAAGUUAAUAUCUCACAUUUUCUAUUUUAUUCUGUCUUAUGUUUUUUAAUUUGGAAAUCAUCCAAAAAUAAAUAUCCAACUUUGAAUUACACAUAUUAUCAUAUAAUUUGAAUUAGAAAGAGUAACUUUUUGAAAAUAAUUUAACAUAAAGUUGUGCCCAUACACACUAAUUUUGGGUUUGGGACCUUGUGAUGGUACUAAAAGAAAUUAAUGUAAAUGAGCUUUUAUUAUGACCGAGCUGUUUAUCUACUUACGAUAUAUGAGUUACUGACUUACUGCUGGCAGAGUUAAAUAUGUAUUUUAUAAUUGAAAAAAUGAUUCACACUAUUUUUCACAAAAAAAAAAUCAUUUUCUAAAAUAUGUUACGAGUAAUAGUAAAGUGUUAAUAUCAAAAAUUGUUGUUAGGUGCAUAAUAGAAAACUAUAGAAUUGAAUAUAGAAUUUGAAUUAAAUUCUAAUUUAUUAUUAUUAUUGUUAUUAUUAUUAUUUUUGAAGAAAUAAUAAUAAUAAUAAUAAUAAUAAUAAUAAUAAUAAUAAUUAUUAUUAUUAUUAUAAUAUCCGCGGAAUGGCAAACUCCCGAUCCGCGAAAAGAGAAACCCGGUUCUGCGGAUACUUAAAAACAAAAUUAAAUCUUAGCCCUUAAAAUAUAGAUCUAAGAGCUCAGUACUUUGGCCACCUUGCUUUGGACUUUCGACUGGGAGCUUGGCAACUCCCUUACUCCACAGACUAUCAACAUGGCCGAGAGGACUGGUAUAACACUCAGAAUGUCGGAACCUCUUAAAGCAAUUCCCAGAAAAAUCAAUCGAACGUGAUGGCCAUUACGUGUUCAGAGAGACAAUGAAGGUGAUACGGACAUUUGCACAUUACAAGGCUGCUAUGUUGUCAAAUAUAAUUUCAAUUCCUAGAAAAAAUGUCUACGUACUUGAUAAAGUUUCUUCUUCUAUAUUAUCGCAAAUAGAUGUGUGUCUAAUUAUAGGAAAGAAAGUCUUCUUUGUUAUGUGUAAUGCAGAUUAGCCAUCAACAAAUAAGUGCACUGCAAGAUUGUUGUGUAAUGCGGCUGUGAUUCAUUUAGUAUUAUAAUAUUAAGAUACAUAUUAUUUGUGAAAUUUUUUGACUUUGUUAUAUUUAUCUUUUAAGUUAAUAUCUCAC
rnacentral:lncRNA from 1 species